GAUGAACGCUGGCGGCGUGCCUAAUACAUGCAAGUCGAGCGAAUGGAUUAAGAGCUUGCUCUUAUGAAGUUAGCGGCGGACGGGUGAGUAACACGUGGGUAACCUGCCCAUAAGACUAGGAUAACUCCGGGAAGCCGGGGCUAAUACCGGAUAACAUUUUGAACCGCAUGGUUCGAAAUUGAAAGGCGGCUUCGGCUGUCGCUUAUGGAUGGACCCGCGUCGCGUUAGCUAGUUGGUGAGGUAACGGCUCACCAAGGCAACGAUGCGUAGCCGAACUGAAAGGGUGAUCGGCCACACUGGGACGGAGACACGGCCCGGACUCCUACGGGAGGCAGCAGUAGGGAAUUUUUCUCAAUGGGGGAAACCCUGAAGGAGCGACGCCGCGUGGGGGAUGAAUGGCUUCGGCCCGUAAACCCCUGUCAUUUGCGAUCAAACCUUACGUUUUAAUAAAGCGUAAGCUGAUAGUAGCGGAAGAGGAAGGGACGGCUAACUCUGUGCCAGCCGCCGCCGUAA
rnacentral:rRNA from 1 species